AAUGAUUGGGCGUAAAGCGUCUGUAGGUGGCUUUUUAAGUCCACCGUCAAAUCCCAGGGCUCAACCCUGGACAGGCGGUGGAAACUACCAAGUUGGAGUAUGGUAGGGGCAGAGGGAAUUUCCGGUGGAGCGGUGAAAUGCGUAGAGAUCGAAAAGAACACCAACGGCAAAAGCACUCUGUUGGGCCGACACUGACACUGAGAGACGAAAGCUAGGGGAGCGAAUGGGAUUAGAUACCCCAGU
rnacentral:ncRNA from 1 species